CAGACCAUCUGACAACAUUUAGCUUUCGGUACAGACGGGUGUUCGAAAUUUACGAUGAAUCUGACAGCCGUAUUUGCUUCCAUUGUACUUGCUUCUGUGGCCAUGUUUCAAUGUGCUAGUGGGCACCAUCACCAUCACCAUCAUCACCAUGGGCACCAUCACGGGCAUCAUCAUCACGGGCACCAUCACGGAAAAUAGAUGAGAGGUUAAAGCGUUCGCUCGUCGUGCCGAAGACCCGGG